CAGUCGCCGCGGGAAUACGUAGGGUGCGAGCGUUAAUCGGAAUUACUGGGCGUAAAGCGUGCGCAGGCGGUUGUGUAAGACAGGUGUGAAAUCCCCGGGCUUAACCUGGGAGCUGCGCUUGUGACUGCACAGCUAGAGUAUGGCAGAGGGGGGUGGAAUUCCACGUGUAGCAGUGAAAUGCGUAGAGAUGUGGAGGAACACCGAUGGCGAAGGCAGCCCCCUGGGCCAAUACUGACGCUCAUGCACGAAAGCGUGGGGAGCAAACAGGAUUAGAGACCCGCGUAGUCCCUGUCUCUUAUAC
rnacentral:rRNA from 1 species